CAAUAGCGUAUAUUAAAGUUGUUGCGGUUAAAAAGCUCGUAGUUGGAUUUCUGUUGAGGACGACCGGUCCGCCCUCUGGGUGAGUAUCUGGCUCGGCCUUGGCAUCUUCUUGGAGAACGUAACUGCACUUGACUGUGUGGUGCGGUAUCCAGGACUUUACUUGAGGAAAUUAGAGUGUUUCAAGCAGGCGUACGCCUUGAAUACAUUAGCAUGGAAUAAUAAGAUAGGACCUCGGUUCUAUUUUGUUGGUUUCUAGAGCUGAGGUAAUGAUUAAUAGGAUAGUUGGGGCAUUCAUAUUCCAAUGUCAGAGGUGAAAUUCUUGGAUUAUCGGAAGAUGAACUUUCUGGACGAAAGCAUUUGCCAAGGAUGUUUUCAUUAAUCAAGAACGAAAGUUAGGGGAUCGAAGAUGAUCAGAUACC
rnacentral:rRNA from 1 species